rnacentral:rRNA from 1 species
UACGGAGGAUCCAAGCGUUAUCCGGAAUUACUGGGCGUAAAGAGUUGCGUAGGUGGCAUGGUAAGUUGGUAGUGAAAGCGUGCGGCUCAACCGCAUAUACAUUACCAAAACUGCCAAGCUAGAGGACGAGAGAGGUACCUGGAAUUCCCAGUGUAGGAGUGAAAUCCGUAGAUAUUGGGAGGAACACCGAUGGCGUAGGCAGGGUACUGGCUCGUUCCUGACACUAAGGCACGAAAGCGUGGGUAGCAAACGGG